UACGGGGGGGGCAAGCGUUGUUCGGAAUUACUGGGCGUAAAGGGCGCGUAGGCGGUUUGUUAAGUUGGAUGUGAAAACUCUGGGCUUAACCCAGAGCCUGCAUCCAAAACUGGCAGGCUGGAGUUUGGAGGGGGAAGCGGAAUUCCUGGUGUAGCAGUGAAAUGCGUAGAUAUCAGGAGGAACACCGGUGGCGAAGGCGGCAUCCUGGACCAACACUGACGCUGAGGAGCGAAAGCCAGGGGAGCAAACGGG
rnacentral:rRNA from 1 species